rnacentral:rRNA from 1 species
AUUGAACGCUGGCGGCAGGCCUAACACAUGCAAGUCGAGCGGUAACACAGAGAGCUUGCUCCUUCGACGUUAGCGGCGGACGGGUGAGUAACACGUGGGCAACCUACCUUAUAGUUUGGGAUAACUCCGGGAAACCGGGGCUAAUACCGAAUAAUCUGUUUCACCUCAUGGUGAAACAUUGAAAGACGGUUUCGGCUGUCGCUAUAGGAUGGGCCCGCGGCGCAUUAGCUAGUUGGUGAGGUAACGGCUCACCAAGGCGACGAUGCGUAGCCGACCUGAGAGGGUGAUCGGCCACACUGGGACUGAGACACGGCCCAGACUCCUACGGGAGGCAGCAGUAGGGAAUCUUCCACAAUGGGCGAAAGCCUGAUGGAGCAACGCCGCGUGAGUGAAGAAGGAUUUCGGUUCGUAAAACUCUGUUGUAAGGGAAGAACAAGUACAGUAGUAACUGGCUGUACCUUGACGGUACCUUAUUAGAAAGCCACGGCUAACUACGUGCCAGCAGCCGCGGUAAUAC